UACGAAGGGGCUAGCGUUGCUCGGAAUCACUGGGCGUAAAGCGCACGUAGGCGGCUUUCUAAGUCAGGGGUGAAUCCUGGAGCUCAACUCCAGAACUGCCUUUGAUACUGGAGAGCUUGAGUCCGGAAGAGGUGAGUGGAACUCCGAGUGUAGAGGUGAAAUUCGUAGAUAUUCGGAAGAACACCAGUGGCGAAGGCGGCUCACUGGCCCGGUACUGACGCUGAGGUGCGAAAGCGUGGGGAGCAAACAGGG
rnacentral:rRNA from 1 species